AAGCUUUGGGACCCAGUGUCAGUUCAGUGAAGCAGCCGCUGUGGUACCGCACCAGUAACCCAACCACAAUGAGUGUGCCAGAUGAGCAGGACGUGCCUGAGCUCCGAGUCUGACCGAGAGGCGGUAUAACUCGCACUCACCCGCGGAUGCUACGGGCACUUACCCAGCACGGAGCCGAUAAAUAUAAGGAUCUGCGCCGAGGUGGUGAAGUCUCGAUGCUGCCUGGCCUGCUCAAAUCUGGGAAAUCAAGAGAAUUUCAUCAAAAUAACCUUGUUUAAUAUGGUGUUGUCCUUUUUGUCGAUGAGACUACCUAAUAUAUUAGAGGAAUAGGAAUGUUCCAACUCUGGGGACUUUGUACAACAUGCUAACUCAACAUGGUGUAACAGCCAAAAGAUCAUCUAACACCAGUCUACUGGAUCCAACAUUAUCGAGAGAAAAUCAUCCCUCACCAAGCACUCGAGUUCUGAAGCUACAAGAAGACAAACCUUGUGUCAAAUCCAACCAAAAAGUUGUUGAUAUCAACUCAGAAUUAAGGGUUCACUCUAAAAAGAACUAUUUGAAAAUAACUAUUAAGACUCAGCUUGAAUUUUAUUUGUACCAUUUAAUAAAAUACAUAAUUUCAAUGUUUCUUAUUUAUUGAUGAUCACCUUGUAUGCUAGCAAAAUUAUUCCUUCCUGUAGCAAUCUAUCCUUUAUUAACUUUAUAACAGUUUAACAUUGACUUUUAACUGAGAUGCCAUACUGCCUUCAGUUUAGCUAUUAAAUGUACCUUUGCUUUGUCUUUCGUGGCAAAGGUCAUGGGGGUUUGGAGAGUGAUAUUGGAUUAGUGUGGCCUGAUUAUGCACUUAUCAAUAACAGAUAUUAUUUAUGAAAAAUUAAUAAAUAUUUUAACAUUUUUUAAAAUGAUCAACCACUUCCAGGGAGCUAGUUACAUUUAAUAUAUUAGUUAUUUUAAACAAAGAAAACCUGAUGACUAAACAAAAGAGAAUCUGCAGUUGCUGGAAAUCCAGAAUGUUAGAUGAACCCAGCAGGUCGGGCACUAUCUAUUGAGGGAAUAUACAGUUAAUGUUUGGGGCUGAGACCCUUCAUCAAGACUGGAAAGGAAGAGGGAAGAAGCCAGAAUAACAGAGAUAGAGUUUCUUUUGUCCUUCCCUACCACCCCAUAAGCCUUCACAUCCAGCACAUUACUCUUUGUAACUUCUGCCAUCUUUGGUGAGAUCCUACCCCCCUCCCCCCAGCUCCCACUCGCCACUUUCCUCAGGGAUUGCUCUCCACAUGACUCCCUUGUCCACUUGUUCCUCCCCACUGAUCCCUGCAAGCAAGUUAAGUGCUACACCUGGUCCUUCAUCUCCUCCCUCACCACCAUCAGAGCCCCAAACAAUCCAUCCAUAUGAGGCAACGCUUCAUCUUCAAGUCGGCAGGGAUGAUCUACUGUAUCUGGCGCUCCAGUGUGGCCUCCACUACACCAGUGAGACUUGACUUAGAUUGGGAGACCACUUUAUCAAACACCUUUGCUCUGUCCACCACAACAGGCAGAACUUCCUGGUAGCCACCCAUUUUAAUUCUACUUCCCAUUCCCUUUCAACAUGUCAUUCAAUGACCUCGUCUACAGCUACAAUGUGGCCUCUGUCAGGCUGGAAGAUGAACACUUCAUAAUCUGUCUCGGCAGCCUCCAGACUAAAACAUGAACACCAAUUCCACUAACUUCAGGUAAUUUCUUCCCCCCAUCCCCUUCUCUCCUUUCACAUUACCCAUUCUGGCUCUAGUCUUACCCUUUCUCUUUUCUCUUCACCUGCCCAUCACCUCACUCUGGGACUGUUCCCCUUUCCCUUUCCUCCAUGGUCCACUCUACUAUCAGAUUCCUUUUUCUUCAGCCCUUUGCCUUUUCUACCUAUCACCCACCCUCACCUGGUCUCAUCCAUCACCUGCUUACUUAUACUCCUCCCCUCAUCUCCUUAUUCUGGCUUCUUCCCCCUUCAUUUUCAGUCCUGAUGAAUGAUUUUGGCCUGGAACAUUGACUGUUCAUUCUCCUUCAUAGAUGCUGCCUGACCUGCUGAGUUCCUCCAGCAUUUUUCCAACUGGUGGUUAAAUCCCUUUUAAUUUUAGAGCUUUGUAAAGGAGCAGAUUAAUUGCCUAAAAAAAUUACUCAUGCUAAAAUGAUCCCAUAAAAGUCAUCAAUAUAAUGUGGAAAUUAUUCGGUGGGAGUUCAAGCAAACAUAAUUAAAAAAUACAAAGCUCAAGAUCUGUGCAGCUAUCUGUUAAAUUUUGAACAUUUUCCAUGGUCCAUUUCCCAAACAGUGUAGCACUCUACCUAAAUGUAUUUUCAGUCAGUGCAGUCCCAUUGCUUAUUAGAGUGUAAGCUAGCUCCCUUAAGAUGACAGCAUGUUCAUAGUCCUUCAUUCUGAUUGAACACAAACAAUGGGUUAUUUACACAACAGGAGCAAUUGUGCACAAUUAAAUAGUGGCAGGUGUCACCAAAAUGCCCAGUACCAAUGUACUUUGUAUUUCAGGUCCAUGACAUUAAGGAAUCCAUGAAAACUCUGCAAAGUGUGCAGAGGAAGGGUUUCAGGGAAUGAGAAUAAUUUCAGAUUCAGAUAAACACAUAAAGAUAAUGUAAACCAUUCUGAGCAUUCGCUCAAUCUGAAGUAUUGACGAGUAUGAUCAACGAUUGAGAAUGGAACUUGCAGAAAUCAUUGAAACGAUCAUUGAACAAUCAGAAAUGAUUGCUCUGAUUUCAGAGUGGACGAAAGAGAAAUUGUCAGUGGUGUUACAGAGUGUAAUUAAAGGCAAAGCACAACAGGUUUAUGCAGCUUUAACUGCUGAGUAAGCGCUUGAUUAUGAUAUUGUGAAACUGCACAUAUUGAGUGCAUAUGAGUUGGUCCCAGAAGCUUAUAGAGAAAGAUUCAGAAAUCUGUGGAGAAAACGUCUGUGGAGUUUGCCUACAAUAAACCUGUGUGUUUUGAGAGAUGGGUUUCCUCUAAAAAUGUAAAUGGGGACUAUAAUAAAUUGAAAGAGCUGAUUUUAAUGGAAGAAUUUAAAAGAAGCAUUCCUGUUGAAGUAAGGACAUACUAAAUGAGAGAAACAUUGAUACAUUGCAGGACUCUGCUAAAUUAGCUGAUGAGUAUGUUUUAAUUCAUAACAAUGAAUUUUCUCAGGGUAGAACUUUUAAAAGGAAAAAUAACAGAGACUCAAGGUAAAUCAGAAAUUAAAUCAGAAGUUGGUGAGAAGGGUAAAGAGAAAGGAAAACCUGUGAAGGAAAGACAGUUUGGUCCCAUUUGUAAUUAUUGUAAGAAACCUGGUCAUGUAAUAGCUAACUGUUCCCGAUUGAAAAAGAAAGAGAAGGGAGCAGUCCCAGAUGCUUGUGUGCAACAUACUGAAACACCUGUAAAAUCACAGGGUUUGAUGAACACAAAUGGGGUUUUGUUAGAGUCUGACCAAGUUAAAAGGGGAUAUGAUCAUUUUAUAACUGAAGGGUUUGUAUCCUUGGAAGAAGGAUCUACUCCGGUGCCAAUAAAAAUCCUUAGGGAUACUGGAGCUUCUCAAUCACUGAUGUUAGACAGUGUAUUGAAGUUUAAUGAAGAGUCUGAUACUGGUGAGGUAAAUUACAUACGAGAUGUUGGGAGUGCCCUUAUGCCUGUAUAUUUACAUAAAGUUAGUUGCAGGACUUGUUAAAGUAGGACUACAGCCUAGCUUACCUGUGAAGGAUAUUUCUUUAUUGUUAGGUAAUGACUUGGCAGGUAGACAAGUUUUUCCUGACGUGCAUUUAACAAUGGAGUCAGCGGAACCACAGACGAAUUCUAACACAGAUUCUUCCUGUGUUGUGACUAGAGCUAUGGCUAAAAAGAUUGAUGCGCAGAAUGAGGUUGUUACUCAUGACUGUUCAACUCAGGAUUCGAGUUUUGAGGACGUGCCAGAAACUUUACCUUCUUUGUUUGAACAAGAUUCUUGGAGUAAGUCUGACCAUGAAGAUUUGACUCUGUCUCGGAAGGAGAUGAUAGCAGAGCAGAGUAGAAACCCUGAGAUUAUAAAAUUAAAAGAACAAGCUAGUGAAUUCAACAGGUAAUGAAAUUGAGUAGGAUAUUAUUUUGAAAAAGGAGUGCUGAUGAGGAAGUGGAGAUCGCCUACAAUUCCUGCAAGUGAUGAAUGGAAUAUUGUUUAUCAGGUAGUUGUCCCUAAAGUUUAUCAAAAUGAGAUUUUAACUUUAGCUCAUAGUGUGCCCUUAGGUGGACAUCAAGGGGUAAGGAAAACUGUGGACAAGAUUUUAAAACAUUUUUACUGGCCUGGUUUAAGAAAAGAUGUGGCAAUGUUUUGUAGAACAUGUCAUACUUGUCAAAUUGUGGGUAAACCAAAUCAAGUUACACCAGUGGCUCCAUUACAACCUAUUCCAGCAUCUGGUGAGCCGUUUUCUAAAAUUAUUAUAGAUUGUGUAGGUCCAUUACCAAAGACAAAAACUGGUUAUCAGUACUUGUUGACUAUCAUGUGCACUGCGUCUAGGUUUCCAGAGGCAGUACCACUUAGGAAUAUAACAGCUAAAACUGUAACAAAGGAGCGUAUAAAAUUCUUUACUUAUUUUGGGUUACCGAAGGAAAUACAAUCUGAUCAAGGCAAUAACUUUAUUCUGGAUUGUUUCAACAGAUAGUUUAUAAAUUGGGAGCUAAGCAAAUCACUUUGUCUGCAUACCAUCCAGAAUCGCAAGGUGCCUUGGAGAGGUUUCAUUCUACCCUCAAGAAUAUGAUUAGGACGUAUUGUGUGGAAAAUGAAAGUGAUUGGGAUGAGGGUAUAAAGUUUCAGUCCAUUUGUAUUUGUGCAUAGAGUUAGAGGACCUUAUUAAAAGAACAAUGGAUUAAUAAAGAGGUACACAUUAAUUUGUUAGACUAUGUUGUGAAAUUCAAGGACAGAUUACAUAAAGCUGCUAGUUUAGCUAGGGAAAAUUUAAAAUUGGCUCAGGAGAAAAUGAAAACCUGGUAUGAUGAAGAAGCUAGGAUGAGGAAGUUUAAACCUGAAGAUAAAGUGCUGAUUCUUUUCUCAGUGCAAACGAAUCUUUUACAAGCUAGAUUUCAUGGUCCUUAUGAAAUUGUGUCUAAAAUCAAUGAGGUGGAUUAAGUGAUUAAAAUCUCCAGAUCAUAGAAGGCCAACACAACUUUGCCAAAUAAAUAUGAUUAAACCAUAUUAUGAGAAACAGUCUGCUACUAUGACUGUUGUGGUCAAUGAUAAUGAGUUUGAUCUCACUAGAGACAUAAUGGAUAAUUCAUUUGAAACUCAUUCUGAACCCCACAUUGUUUCUGCCAGGUUACCAAACUCAACCAUUCUGGAAAAGAUUGAUGAGAAAUUAGCACAUUUACAACCAGAGCAGAAACAAUAAAUAAAAUAAUUAAUUUUUAAAUAUAAGGAUUUGUUUCCAGAUGUUCCUAGAAGAACUACCAUAGCUUCACAUGCUGUAGAUGUUGGAGAUGCCAAAUCCAUUAAACAACAUCCAUAUAGGAUGAACAUGGAAAAAUGUGAACUUGCUGAGAAAGAAAUUAAAUAUAUGCUAGAGAAUAAUAUUAUUAGACCUUCUAACUCAAAUUGGAGUUCACCUUGAGUUAUGGUGCCAAAACCAGACAGUAGUAUUAAGUGUUGUAUGGACUAUAGGAAGGUGAAUGCUGUAACGAAAACAGACGCAUAUCCAAUUCCUAGAGUAGAUGAUUGUGUAGAUAAAGUGGGAAAAGCAAAGUUCCUUACAAAGAUUGAUUUAUUGAAAGGGUAUUGGUGUGCUCCAUUAACAGAUAGAGAUAUCUGCAUUUGUAACUCCAUCUGGAUUAUAUGAAUAUUAUGUUCUUCCAUUUGGGAUGAAGAAUGCCCCAGGUACUUUCCAGAGGAUGAUUAACUCUGUGAUUCAGGGAUUGAAAGAUACGGAUGCUUAUACUGACGGUUUAGUGGCAGGAAAUGAUAUUUGGGAAUUACACCUUAUUGCGGUGGAAAAAUUGUUUGAAAGGCUUUCCAAAGCUAACUUAACUAUUAGUUUAGCUAAAAGUGAAUUUGGACAUGCCACUGUGACUUACCUUGGUAAUGUUGUGGGUCAAGGUAAAGUAGCUCCUGUUCAGGCAAAAGUUUGGGCAAUUUUAGAGAUUCCCACUCCAACGGGGAAAAAAACUCUCAGAAGAUUUUUGGGAAUGGUAGGAUAUUGUCAAAAAUUUUGUAAGAAUUUUUCUAAUGUGGCCCUUCCAUUAACUAACCUCUUGAAGAAGAAUGAGAAGUUGGUGUGGACAGUGCCUUGUCAAGAAGCAUUUGGGAAAUUGAAAACUAUGAUAUGUCAACACUUUGUGCUCAAGGCACCUGACUUUGAAAAACCUUUUUCAUUAGCUGUAGAUGCUAGCGAUGAGGCUGCAGGAGCAGUAUUAACGCAAAGGAAUGAGGGUGAUGAGGCUGAUCAUCCAGUGGCUUACUUUUCUAAGAAAUUUAAUAAGCAUCAAAGGAACUAUUCGACAAUAGAGA